rnacentral:lncRNA from 1 species
AGGCGAAGACGACGAACGGUCGCUGGCGGUAGAGUUGUAGUGUGAAUAUGGUAUAGUGAGCGGCGAAGGGUGAAGGGUGGCGGUGCGGCGAGGGAAUACGAAGAGGCCUUUCUUUUUCAUUUUUCUUUCUUUUUAUUUUUCAAUGUCCAAAGCGAGAGUUAUUUUGAUUGGAGAGGUAUUGUUGUAGACCUUUUUCUUGUUUUCUUUUUUGUUUUUAGAGAGUGAGCUUUAGUGGAGGUGGGUGUUGUGUUUUUGAGUGGGUCUUUUUUAUUUUCUUUUUUUUAUUCCCGUUAGAGGCCAAGAGAGUGUGUGCGUGGAGGGUGAGCCAUUGGAGUGGUCCUUUAAUUUC